ACCUAUUAUAACGAGCGCUGUCAGAGCAGACAAAGAAACGCUAUUAUACAUGACUCAUAGCGUUUUCCGUCUGCUAUUACUACCCACAUUUCCUGUAGUGAGGGUUAGAAUUUACUCUAGUGGCGGUGGAAGAGAGCCAAUCGUUGGGGUGUGGUUUUGAUCGUCGGUCUCCCUAUUUUAUUUUCCCGGUGGUCAUCUAUGGCUCUGGUGGUCUUUUUGACUCGGUUAAGGUCGGUGUUAGCUUCCCGGUGGUAGCAAUUUUUCUGUUUUUGGCUCGACAUUUCUUGGUGGUCAUGGUGGUGAGUGUUUUAGCUGACAUGGUGGUCUUUGGCAUGCUUCGGCGAAUUCCUUGAUACUUUCUUCUACUUUUGUCUUCUGUCCGGUAUAUAGUUGAUUCGGAACGAUCUGAUUGUUAAUGGAUUGAGAUGUUGAGCUUUUA